rnacentral:rRNA from 1 species
UACGUAGGGGGCUAGCGUUGUCCGGAAUCAUUGGGCGUAAAGCGCGCGUAGGCGGCCCGGUAAGUCCGCUGUGAAAGUCAAAGGCUCAACCUUUGAAUGUCAGCGGAUACUGCCGGGCUAGAGUCCGGAAGAGGCGAGUGGAAUUCCUGGUGUAGCGGUGGAAUGCGCAGAUAUCAGGAAGAACACCCGUGGCUAAGGCGGCUCUCUAGUACGGUACUGACGCUGAGACGCGAAAGCGUGGGAGCGAACAGG